rnacentral:rRNA from 1 species
GUAGGUGGCAAGCGUUGUCCGGAAUUAUUGGGCGUAAAGCGCGCGCAGGCGGUUCUUUAAGUCUGAUGGUGAAACGCCCACGGCUCAACCGUGGAGGGUCAUUGGAAACUGGAGAACUUGAGUACAGAAGAGGAAAGCGGAAUUCCACGUGUAGCGGUGAAAUGCGUAGAGAUGUGGAGGAACACCAGUGGCGAAGGCGGCUUUUCUGGUCUGUAACUGACGCUGAGGCGCGAAAGCGUGGGGAGCAAACAGGGAUUAGAUACCCUGGUAGUCCACGCCGUAAACGAUGAGUGCUAAGUGUUAGGGGGGUUUCCGCCCCCUUAGUGCUGCAGCUAACGCAUUAAGCACUCCGCCUGGGGAGUACGGCCGCAAGGCUG